UACGAAGGGGGCUAGCGUUGCUCGGAAUCACUGGGCGUAACGGGUGCGUAGGCGGGUUUUUAAGUCCGGUGUGAAAUCCUGGAGCUCAACUCCAGAACUGCCUUUGAUACUGAAGAUCUUGAGUCCGGGAGAGGUGAGUGGAACUGCGAGUGUAGAGGUGAAAUUCGUAGAUAUUCGCAAGAACACCAGUGGCGAAGGCGGCUCACUGGCCCGGUACUGACGCUGAGGCACGAAAGCGUGGGGAGCAAACAGG
rnacentral:rRNA from 1 species